rnacentral:rRNA from 1 species
AAAGCCCUUUUGCACGGGAAGAUAAUGACGGUACCGUGCGAAUAAGCCCCGGCUAACUACGUGCCAGCAGCCGCGGUAAUACGUAGGGGGCGAGCGUUGUCCGGAUUUAUUGGGCGUAAAAGGCUUGUAGGUGGCCACGCCAAGUCGGAUGUGAAAUCUCCCGGCUCAACUGGGAGGGGUCAUUCGAUACUGGCGGGCUCGAGGCCGGUAGGGGGAAGUGGAAUUCCCGGUGUAGUGGUGGAAUGCGUAGAUAUCGGGAGGAACACCAGUGGCGAAGGCGGCUUCCUGGACCGGUUCUGACACUGAGGAGCGAAAGCGUGGGGAGCGAUCCGGAUUAGAUACCCGGGUAGUCCACGCCGUAAACGUUGGGCACUAGGUGUCGGGGGUAUCGACCCCUCCGGUGCCGCAGCUAACGCAUUAAGUGCCCUGCCUGGGGAGUACGGCCGCAAGGCUAAAACUCAAAGGAAUUGACGGGGGCCCGCACAAGCAGCGGAGCGUGUGGUUUAAUUCGAUGCAACGCGAAGAACCUCACCUAGGCUUGACAUGCUGGAAGUAGAACCCCGAAGGGGGAACGACUCGUAAAGUCGAGAACCAGCACAGAUGCUGCAUGGCUGUCGUCA